rnacentral:rRNA from 1 species
UACAGAGGUCUCAAGCGUUGUUCGGAAUCACUGGGCGUAAAGGGUGCGUAGGCUGCGGAGUAAGUCGGAUGUGAAAUUUGGGGGCUCAACCCCCAACUUGCAUCUGAUACUGCUUCGCUAGAGACCUGGAGAGGAGUUUGGAAUUCUCGGUGUAGCAGUGAAAUGCGUAGAUUUCGAGAAGAACGCUUGCAGCGAAAGCGAAACUCUGGACAGCGUCUGACGCUGAGGCACGAAGGCUAGGGGAGCAAAGCGGG